rnacentral:lncRNA from 1 species
UUCCUGUUUAUUUAUUUUAGGCCUGUCUAUUAAUGCUGCAUUUUUGUUUGAAUGUGUUUGUACAUUUUCAGAUCAGAUACGUGCUAAUAGUACUUAAGAGGCAUUAUUUGGAGUGAUGUGUCACUGUCACAGCAAUAAAUAGCCUUUGAAACCAGCAAAUACCAGUUUUAGCUUUGAAGCAAACAGAGUCCUAGGAAACAAAAGCAAAAGAGAAAGUAAAAGAGUUUCACAUACCAAAGAAAUGGAGGUAUGGCUUGUAUUUAAGAUCGUUUUCUACAGUGUUUUGUUGGCUUCAGUAUCUGGUGACACACUAAGUCUCUUACAUGAAUAACUUGCGUUAGAAAUGUAACUUUGAAUUGGAUGUAACAUCCCAUCAGCUAUAUGCUACUAUCCUGGAUGAAGGCUUUGGAUGUACCCUACUUUUAAAAAGACUGCCUACAAUGAAACAGCUCUCCCACAUGAUGAAGAGAGUACCAUGUCAACUUGUAUGCAUACUGGUGAUGGUGAUAUGUGCAGAAAAGAAUAAAACAGCAUGAGCAGGAUAGCAAGUCUUCAAGUGACAAGAAGAGUUUCCAAAGGGACAGAGACAUCAGUCUAUAGAUCUGGAACAGUGGGUUUGAAGCACCCCAUGGUGAUUUGCUCAUCUCGCUAAGCUACACACCAGGAGAGCAGCUCUGGAGUUUCCUGUGCAUCAUGGGACCUGGCAGAAAGUGAAGCUGGAUAAGUUUUCUGUGACACAGACCUUGCAAGGUAUAAGCAGAAAUGCCACAGGAAGCCUAGCACAAUGUGAUUGUUACUUGACAAGACAGUGGGAUGAUGAAAAAGGAGCAAAGAUCUUAAGUCUUGAUUCUGGAAGGGAGGAGUGAAAGCAUGAAAAGUUCCAUGAGUGAAGGAGAAGGAAGGCUGUCCUAGUACAUUCUGCUUUGUUAUCCUUUCACACCAAUAACCCAGCUUCCAAA